AACGCUAGCUACAGGCUUAACACAUGCAAGUCGAGGGGAAACGACAUCGAAAGCUUGCUUUUGAUGGGCGUCGACCGGCGCACGGGUGAGUAACGCGUAUCCAACCUGCCCAUCACUUGGGGAUAACCUUGCGAAAGUAAGACUAAUACCCAAUGACGUUUCUAGAAGACAUCUGAAAGAGAUUAAAGAUUUAUCGGUGAUGGAUGGGGAUGCGUCUGAUUAGCUUGUUGGCGGGGUAACGGCCCACCAAGGCGACGAUCAGUAGGGGUUCUGAGAGGAAGGUCCCCCACAUUGGAACUGAGACACGGUCCAAACUCCUACGGGAGGCAGCAGUGAGGAAUAUUGGUCAAUGGACGAGAGUCUGAACCAGCCAAGUAGCGUGCAGGAUGACGGCCCUAUGGGUUGUAAACUGCUUUUAUAAGGGAAUAAAGUGAGUCUCGUGAGACUUUUUGCAUGUACCUUAUGAAUAAGGACCGGCUAAUUCCGUGCCAGCAGCCGCGGUAAUACGGAAGGUCCGGGCGUUAUCCGGAUUUAUUGGGUUUAAAGGGAGCGUAGGCCGGAGAUUAAGCGUGUUGUGAAAUGUAGACGCUCAACGUCUGCACUGCAGCGCGAACUGGUUUCCUUGAGUACGCACAAAGUGGGCGGAAUUCGUGGUGUAGCGGUGAAAUGCUUAGAUAUCACGAAGAACUCCGAUUG
rnacentral:rRNA from 1 species